rnacentral:misc_RNA from 1 species
ACCAGCAACUUGGGAUUGCAAAUCUGCGAUUACUGUUAGAUUGAAUAACUUGGCGAAACAAGUAAAUAUUAUCCAACAACAUUGAAGAAAGUGUUCUGAGUAAAUUAAGGGCAUCCGAGAGUAGAUUAAGCUGUCAACUUUGAAAAAGGUGAUUCAAGUACUGAUCAAUAAAUGACAUUAUGCAGAGUGACGAGGUCAGAGGUGAAAGGGAAGUUGCAGGAACUGAUGGCGGAUGCACUUCUCAAUCUCUAGCAGGAUCUAAGGACAAGGGGAAGUUGGAGUUGGUUGAAGUUGCACGAGCCAAAGAUAAAUCUCAAGAGUCGGAACUGAAAUCCCAAAUUCAAAAGCACAUCAAAAGCACUGAUCGAUGAUUCUCACUUCCUUAUCCUUCAGAAAGAAAGCAACUUUGAGCCAAAGUUGAAGUGUGGUCAGGGAGCAAGCGAGGGGAAAAGGAAUUUAUACCAUUGCAAUUAUUGCAAUAAAGAUGCAACCGGGAAUAUCUAUGUCAAGUGUGCGGAAUGCCCUAGCUUUGACCUUUGUGUAGAGUGCUUCUCUAUUGGAGCUGAGGUGACACCUCAUA